UACGUAGGGUGCAAGCGUUAUUCGGAAUAACUGGGCGUAAAGGGCGCGUAGGUGGAUUUGUAAGUCGUCUGUGAAAUCCCUGGGCUUAACCCGGGAAUGGCAUGCGAAACUGCAAGUCUUGAAUGCCGGAGAGGGUGGUGGAAUUCCUGGUGUAGUAGUGAAAUACGUAGAUAUCAGGAGGAACAUCGGAGGCGAAGGCGACUGCCUGGCCGAGCAUUGACACUGAGGCGCGAAAGCGUGGGGAGCAAACAGGAUUAGAUACCCUGGUAGUCCACGCCUUAAACGAUGGAUACUAGAUGUUCGGAGAGUUAACCCUCUGAGUAUCGCAGCUAACGCAUUAAGUAUCCCGCCUGGGAAGUACGGUCGCAAGACUAAA
rnacentral:rRNA from 1 species